rnacentral:rRNA from 1 species
AUGACACUACGAAAACCCGGAUCGCCAAGACCAGACCCGUCAAGUACCCCUUCGGAUUCGUCAAGACCCUCAUGUACGACUACACCCGAUGAUGCGUUAAGUGUCUCUACCGAUUACCCGAACAUCUACGAUCCAUGUACCACUACAGCCGCUCGAACAUCUACAGAACAUGCACCACUAUUGCCGCCGAGGGUUUCGUCAAGUUCAACUACAUCGACUACGAACAGUGACGACCCCGAACAUCUACGGAGAGUGUAUGACUACGACUGUGUACAACUACCAUCGUUGAAGGCCGUCGAGUGA